rnacentral:rRNA from 1 species
CUACGGGACGCUCCAGUCGAGAAUCUUCCGCAAUGGACGAAAGUCUGACGGAGCGACGCCGCGUGCGGGAUGAAGGCCUUCGGGUUGUAAACCGCUGUCAGUGGGGAGGAAAUGCAUCAGGGUUCUCCCUGGUGUUUGACCGAUCCGCAGAGGAAGCGCAGGCUAAGUUCGUGCCAGCAGCCGCGGUAACACGAACUGCGCGAACGUUAUUCGGAAUCACGGGGCUUAAAGAGUUCGUAGGCGGCCUUUCAAGUCGGGUGUGAAAUCCCUCGGCUCAACCGAGGAAUUGCGCCUGAUACUGUUGGGCUUGAGGGGGAUAGGGGUGAGCGGAACUGAUGGUGGAGCGGUGAAAUGCGUUGAUAUCAUCAGGAACACCGGUGGCGAAGGCGGCUCACUGGAUCUCUUCUGACGCUGAGGAACGAAAGCUAGGGGAGCGAACGGGAUUAGAUACCCCCGUAGUC